AUUGAACGCUGGCGGCAGGCCUAACACAUGCAAGUCGAGCGGAUGAAGGGAGCUUGCUCCUGGAUUCAGCGGCGGACGGGUGAGUAAUGCCUAGGAAUCUGCCUGGUAGUGGGGGAUAACGUCCGGAAACGGGCGCUAAUACCGCAUACGUCCUGAGGGAGAAAGUGGGGGAUCUUCGGACCUCACGCUAUCAGAUGAGCCUAGGUCGGAUUAGCUAGUUGGUGGGGUAAAGGCCUACCAAGGCGACGAUCCGUAACUGGUCUGAGAGGAUGAUCAGUCGCACUGGAACUGAGACACGGUCCCGACUCCUACGGGAGGCAGCAGUGGGGAAUAUUGGACAAAGGGCGAAAGCCUGAUCCAGCCAUGCCGCGUGUGUGAAGAAGGUCUUCGGAUUGUAAAGCACUUUAAGUUGGGAGGAAGGGCAGUAAGUUAAUACCUUGCUGUUUUGACGUUACCAACAGAAUAAGCACCGGCUAACUUCGUG
rnacentral:rRNA from 1 species